CCUACGGGUGGCAGCAGUAGGGAAUAUUGCUCAAUGGGGGAAACCCUGAAGCAGCAACGCCGCGUGGAGGAUGAAGGUUUUAGGAUUGUAAACUCCUUUUGUUAGAGAAGAUUAUGACGGUAUCUAACGAAUAAGCACCGGCUAACUCCGUGCCAGCAGCCGCGGUAAUACGGAGGGUGCAAGCGUUACUCGGAAUCACUGGGCGUAAAGAGCGCGUAGGCGGGAUAGCAAGUCAGAUGUGAAAUCCUAUGGCUUAACCAUAGAACUGCAUUUGAAACUGUUAUUCUAGAGUAAGGGAGAGGGAGGUGGAAUUCUUGGUGUAGGGGUAAAAUCCGUAGAGAUCAAGAGGAAUACUCAUUGCGAAGGCGAGCUGCUAGAACAUAACUGACGCUGAUGCGCGAAGGCGUGGGGAGCAAACAGGAUUAGAUACCCGGGUAGUC
rnacentral:rRNA from 1 species